UCUAAGGAAUGUUAAUAGAACAAGGUAACAAGAAAAUCGCAAGACAAACAUUGCCGCACAGAAAAUAAAAUUAUAUUCAAAGCGUGGGAAGACGAGCUGUACUUUAUCGAAAAAAAUGUCUUUGCAAUCAAAAAGAUCUACAUGUUUGAAUCCAUGGAGCAUACCCAAAAAACCGGAUGUUAGACAAACACCUAGCACAUCAUUUGAAGCUAAGAUCCCCUUUGAGACCAUUAAGGCAGUUGUUUUUCAUUGUUUGUAAAUUCAAAUACAACUACGAAAAUCAGGGCUUGUAUUUUUGAUGAGACGAAAACACGAAUAUUCUUUAGAUAUGUUCUAACAGAUUGGACCAAAGCCAAAAUGAGAAAAUCGAAUAAAGAUACUUCUAACUUGAUCAUCCAUAUCAAGAGACCAGAUUCGACUCCUUCCUUACAAAAGAGAUUUAAAGAUUGCAACAUUGAAGAGAUACCAUGAGUAGGGAAUUUCAAAUAUAAUCAUUAUUUACUUUAUUUGAAUUUGUACGAAGCACGGUAAGAUAUAAGAUUGAAAUAAUGAACAUUAUUAAGAUAAUUUAUUAAAUUAUUAUAACAUAAGCUUAUAAUGGUAAGUUAAAUAAGAAUGGGUCA
rnacentral:lncRNA from 1 species